rnacentral:rRNA from 1 species
UACGUAGGGUGCGAGCGUUGUCCGGAAUUAUUGGGCGUAAAGAGCUCGUAGGCGGUGUGUCGCGUCGGUCGUGAAAACUUGGGGCUUAACUCUGAGCUUGCGGUCGAUACGGGCAUCACUGGAGUUCGGCAGGGGAGACUGGAAUUCCUGGUGUAGCGGUGAAAUGCGCAGAUAUCAGGAGGAACACCGGUGGGCGAAGGCGG